rnacentral:rRNA from 1 species
UACGUAGGGGGCAAGCGUUGUCCGGAAUCAUUGGGCGUAAAGCGCGUGUAGGCGGCUCGGUAAGUCCGCUCUGAAAGUCCAGGGCUCAACCCUGGGAUGCGGGUGGAUACUGCCGGGCUCGAGUCCGGAAGAGGCGAGUGGAAUUCCCGGUGUAGCGGUGAAAUUCGUAGAUAUCAAGCAGAACACCUGCGGCGAAGGCGGCCUUCUGGACGAUGACUGACGCUGAGACGCGAAAGCGUGGGGAGCAAACAGG